rnacentral:rRNA from 1 species
GAUGAAUGCUGGCGGCGUGCCUAACACAUGCAAGUCGAGCGGCAGCGCGGAGAGUUUACUCUCUGGCGGCGAGCGGCGGACGGCUGAGUAACGCGUGGGAACGUGCCCCAAAGUGAGGAAUAACUGCCCGAAAGGGUGGCUAAUGCCGCAUAUGAUCUUCGGAUUAAAGGAUUUAUCCGCUUUGGGAGCGGCCCGCGUCGGAUUAGGUUGUUGGUGAGGUAAUGGCUCACCAAGCCGACGAUCCGUAGCUGGUCUGAGAGGAUGAUCAGCCAGACUGGGACUGAUACACGGCCCAGACUCCUACGGGAGGCAGCAGUGAGGAAUCUUCCACAAUGGGCGAAAGCCUGAUGGAGCAACGCCGCGUGCAGGAUGAAGGCCUUCGGGUUGUAAACUGCUUUUAUAAGUGAAGAAUAUGACGGUAACUUAUGAAUAAGCACCGGCUAACUACGUGCCAGCCGCCGCGGUAACAC